rnacentral:lncRNA from 1 species
UGACUCAUUCCUGUAUGUGGGGCAUGCUUUUUCUGAAGAAGCCAUGAUUGUAAUAAAGAGAAGUUAGUUUUUAAGUUGAAAGUGAAUGUCAUUUCAUGCAAAGGUCAACUGCUGUGUACUUCAUUACAGUACUUUUGGGGACUCAGUCAUGUGUUUGGUUGACCUGAGCCAAUGCAAAAUUGCUUCCUCCUUCAGAGACUCCAGUUCUCUCCUCUUGUUGAUGUCAUCCCCUCCCUCUCCCUCUUACUCUCUCUCUUUCUUAUUUUCUCUUGUUCUUGCUCUCUCUGUCACACACACAUACACAGCCUGUAUAGGGAUUUGGGACAUUCUGUAUUAUUUUUAAAGAUUAGAUAACAAUUGAAUACAAUCCCCAGGUUUACUUCUAAGAUAAUGGGCUAAUAAACUUUUGUUAAAAGUGGAGUGUAAUGCAGAAUUUUGGCAUUUGGUGUACAUUACCUGAAGAAUUGCGGUUUUCUUAGAGGUUCGUUUUUGUAUCCCAUUGAUGUCACGUAGUUUUCUCGGUUGGCCGGAAGCAGCUGUCUGCUGCACUAUGGGAAUGACUGGAUUAUGGCAAUGCUAUAUUAAUGUUUACUCACCGCAUCUUGUUUUCCAUUUGCCUUUAAAACUAGGAAGUCUUCCAUUAAGUUGGGGGUUAAUGGAAUUGCCUUUAGCAAUGUUUUGUAAUUAAGAUUCUACCUCUUCCUUAACCAUGCAGGCGCUCCAUUACUUCUGCUCUGCAGCUUUGUCUCUCCUCUGAUAACCUGUCUUAAGGUUCUUUUGUGGAAUUAUAAAUUAGAUAAAGUACCACAAAAUAGAUAACCUGCUUUAAGUGAAAAUAUUCUUUUUGAGUAUUGUUACUAUAAGAUGAACCUAUAUUCUCUUCAUUGGUACUAGGGUUUGUAUAGGCCUUCAAGUUCAAAGGAAUGUAACCCUAUAUUUAAAAUAGAGAUUGAAUCCAAACUUUGUUUGUGUAUAUUCAAACAUCACUGAGUUUUUACUGGGAAGGUGCUGAGUUGUAAUUUUUUUUGAGAGAAACUGUUGGAGGAUAAUAAACUUAAUAGAGCUAUUUGAGGCUUAGGUGACGUUAAAAGAAAUAUCAGGAAGAAAUAUGUUAUCCCAUACCAUAGAAUCUCAGAAGGUCUUUUGUUGAGUAAUCUCAACUACUGGAUCAUGACCCCCUUGGAAUUGAUGAACUUCUUCACAGCGGUUGUCUAAGGCCACCAGAAAACACAGAUAUCUACAUUACAGUUCAUAGCAGUAGCAAAAUUACAGUUCUGAAAUAUCAACAAAAAUAAUUUUAUAGUUGGGGGUCACUACAACAUAAGCCAUAUAACAUGGUAUGUAAGUAUUUAGAACAGAUGAUAAAUUAUGGUGUAAAAGUCAGAGGAUUGGUUGGAAAUCUGAAUAAAGACAAGGAAUGCCCACCCUUUGAAAUAUGUACUUCUGCCUGCCUUUGAACAAAUAGACAAUCUUCCUUCCAGGGUAAUAGAAAUAGGGACAGAGAGAACCAGCUAUCUAAGC